CGAUGAACCACUUCGGUGGGGAUUAGUGGCGAACGGGUGAGUAACACGUGGGCAAUCUGCCCUGCACUCUGGGACAAGCCCUGGAAACGGGGUCUAAUACCGGAUACGAGUUUCACAGGCAUCUGUGAUUCUGGAAAGCUCCGGCGGUGCAGGAUGAGCCCGCGGCCUAUCAGCUUGUUGGUGAGGUAACGGCUCACCAAGGCGACGACGGGUAGCCGGCCUGAGAGGGCGACCGGCCACACUGGGACUGAGACACGGCCCAGACUCCUACGGGAGGCAGCAGUGGGGAAUAUUGCACAAUGGGCGCAAGCCUGAUGCAGCGACGCCGCGUGAGGGAUGACGGCCUUCGGGUUGUAAACCUCUUUCAGCAGGGAAGAAGCGAGAGUGACGGUACCUGCAGAAGAAGCGCCGGCUAACUACGUGCCAGCAGCCGCGGUAAUACGUAGGGCGCAAGCGUUGUCCGGAAUUAUUGGGCGUAAAGAGCUCGUAGGCGGCUUGUCGCGUCGGAUGUGAAAGCCCGGGGCUUAACCCCGGGUCUGCAUUCGAUACGGGCAGGCUAGAGUUCGGUAGGGGAGAUCGGAAUUCCUGGUGUAGCGGUGAAAUGCGCAGAUAUCAGGAGGAACACCGGUGGCGAAGGCGGAUCUCUGGGCCGAUACUGACGCUGAGGAGCGAAAGCGUGGGGAGCGAACAGGAUUAGAUACCCUGGUAGUCCACGCCGUAAACGGUGGGCACUAGGUGUGGGCAACAUUCCACGUUGUCCGUGCCGCAGCUAACGCAUUAAGUGCCCCGCCUGGGGAGUAC
rnacentral:rRNA from 1 species